AAAAGAAAUUCCCCAUUAGCUUAUGGCAUGCUAUCAGACUAGCACUAUUGGCAAUUUGUAAGUCAACAUGGAUGAAAAGUCCUCAAAUUGCUUAGAAAAAAAUGGAAAUGUGAACCAACUGGGUAAACUCCAUCUGCGAAAAACUCCUCCACAGCCACCAAAUGGACCGUUUUAGACGUUUUAUAGACAUGUAGAAAACAUGUUUACAUUCUCACAACGUUUUCUUUUUACAUUAGUAUCGACAAAUUUGAAAGGGGCACCCAGUCCUAAAACGGGGAGCCAGGGUGGAUUUGGUAAUGAUUACACACUUUUAAUGUUUUUUAAUUAUCAGUCAAUUUUAAGACAAAAAUUGAGUCACUAUUUACCAGCUGAUAAUGAUCGGAGCAUCCCUGAUGAAUUGUACAGAAAGACAGAGGAUUUACUGUUAAGAUUUUAGUUCUGUGCCAUUAACGAGCUGCAGACUGGAAGAGUAAUAAUCAAAAAUCAUGUUGACAAUAAUGAUGAUGAUGAUGAUGAUGAUGAUGAUGACACUGAGCAGUUCAAUAAGAAUCUUUUUCUACUGUUUACACCUGUUGGACUGGCCACACUGUGUAUGUAUGUGUGUGUGUGUGUGUGUGUGUGUGUCUGUGUGUGUGUGUGUGUGUGUGUGUGUGUGUGUGUGUGUUUGUGUGUGUUAAACACAAGGCCAGUUAAGCCCCUCCCACCUCAAUUCCUCGUCUUGGCUUUACCCCGUCCCCAUCCCUUCUUCCCUCAACCAAUAGGCAGCCAGGAUGACAGACAGACGGCAGUUCUGAGAGAUUCAGCUGAUUGGCUGGAACCAAUCAGAAAACAAAACCUUCCCAGCCUGUCUAUGAUUGGUUCUCCUCAAGACACCGACCAAUCAGCUACCAGGAAGAAGCAAAGCAUGCCCCCACCCCGACUUCCCUGAACCCCCCACCCACCCCACCCCGCCCCUCCCCCCCAGUAACAGUGACCUAUUAUGCUAAUCGAUCGGUGUGUUUUUUUGAUUGACUGUUGUCAGUUUUCUCUGUUUGUUUGUUUGUUUGUUUCCAUGGCGACUGAACCUAAAAAGAUGUAAAAUAGAUUAAAAAAUGGUUCAGUUCCCGUCGCUGUUCACAUUGAGACCAUCGAACCCCGAAAACCUUCACUUCAUAACCACGAAAACAACGUUACACGAGAAAAAAGUCCUGAUGAAACAGGAAACCUGUGACAGUAAACACCUGUGUGUGUGUGUGUGUGUGUAUGUGUGUGUGUGUGUGUGUGUGUGUGUGUGUGUGUGUGUGUGUGUGUGUGUGUGUGUGUGUGUGUGUGUGUGUGUGUGUGUGUGUGUAUGUGUGUGUGUGUGUGCGCGUGUGCGUGUGUGUGUUUAUUUUGGAGUGAUGUCAACAUCUUUCUGCUCUCACCUCAGUCUGAACUCACUAUUUAAACUGGCCAAUCAGAACCCUCCCUGAGCUUUGUCAACCAAUCGCUCUCUGCUAAACGUCCGCCGCUUUAAAUCAGAGGGCUGUGAUUGGCUGUUUCUGUGUGAAUAGUUGUAAUUAGCUGUUUGAAUCUGUCCCAAACGUUGUUAACUGGGGCACGUUUAAUAAAAAAAAAAAAAAGAUGCGGUGCAUCUGAAGCACAGUGCUAACAUAUAAUUAGCAUGUGGCUAGCAGACACAGAGCACAGGGCUAGCAUAUGCCUAACAUGUGGCUACCAUAGGGUCAACACACGCAGCACAAGGCUCAUACUAGCUAUGUUUACUAUCUGGUAAUGUGUUCCGUAAGCACAUGGCUAACACAGCUAAUAUAUGGUUAGCACACAGCUAUCACAAAGCUAACUUUUAGCCAACAUACCUAGAUGUCAGCACAUGGCUAACAAAGCCAGUGUAUGGUUAGCACACACCUAGCACAAGGCUAACAUAUGGCUAACACCUCAGUAAUAUAAUUAGGUGUUAGAACAUGGCUAGCGCUUAGUCGACACCUGUUUAACACAUCUAGUAAUAGUUUAGCACGCACCUGGGGCACGUUCCGUCUUAGUUAGAUAGAACUAAGUUUCCUCAGAACGGUGUGAAACGGUGUGCAUCGAGCUUUGAGGUAUGUUUCCUCUCGUUUUGGUGGGUGUGGUGAUACCCAAUCAGCAGCGACGUGUAUGUAAACUUGUGGUAAUAAAAAAGCAGAAUAACAGGGUGCUUAAAUUUAAAUAAACGUGUUGCUAUGUUUUGUUGGGGCUAAACGUGCCCCUCGAAUGAGGCUAACACAGCUAACACAUGAUAAACAUAACUAAUAUUUGGUUACCACACAGCUAACACAGGGAAAGAUUGCUAAUAGUGGUUUAGCAUACAGCUAAAGUAGGGCUAGCACCUGGUUAACAUGCAAUUAGGGUACAUUAGAACAAGAGGAACACAUGGUAUACAUAGUCUAGGUAAGACAGCUAGCUGUUAGCACAGACAUAUACUAACACCUGGUAAACGGAGCUAAUAUUCGGUUCGUCUCACAGAUAACACAGGGUUACCUCUAUUAGUCAGUUAGCACAUGGCUAGCAUAGGGCUAACACAGCUAGUAUUCAGUCAGCACAUGGUUAGCAUUACAUAACAUUACACAAAAAUCCUGUUGGUUGUUAGCAUUGUAGCGCUCAACCGGGGCGUGGCUUCGGGAGGGUUUGAUGAGUGAGACCUAAAGCCAUACACACUGUUUGUUGGUAUGUGUGUGUGUGUGUGUGUGAGAGAGUGUGAGUGUGUGUGUGUGUGUACUCCUGCUCUGACAUUUUUCUGUUUGUAUUUUUUAUAAAUAAAGAAUUGCUACAGUUGUUGUUGUUGUUAGAUUAACUUUUUUAUGGUUCGACGAGUCAGUUUUUGUCUGAUUGAGAUUGUUUAAAUAAAGUUUCAUUACUCAUAUUUCGACA